CGAGGCCUUUACUGACGCUAAAGCUCGAAGGUGCGGGUAUCGAACAGGAUUAGAUACCCUGGUAGUCCGCACGGUAAACGAUGGAUGCCCGCUGUUUGCGAUACACUGUGAGCGGCCAAGCGAAAGCGUUAAGCAUCCCACCUGGGGAGUACGCCGGCAACGGUGAAACUCAAAGGAAUUGACGGGGGCCCGCACAAGCGGAGGAACAUGUGGCUUAAUUCGAUGAUACGCGAGGAACCUUACCCGGGCUUGAACUGCCGGUGAACGAUACAGAGAUGUUGAGGUCCUUCGGGACGCCGGUGGAGGUGCUGCAUGGUUGUCGUCAGCUCGUGCCGUGAGGUGUCGGCUUAAGUGCCAUAACGAGCGCAACCCCUCUCCGUAGUUGCCAUCGGGUGAUGCCGGGCACUCUGCGGACACUGCCACCGUAAGGUGCGAGGAAGGUGGGGAUGACGUCAAAUCAGCACGGCCCUUACGUCCGGGGCUACACACGUGUUACAAUGGGUGGUACAGAGAGCCGGGAGUACGCAAGUGCCCCCUAAUCAUGAAAUCCAUCCUCAGUUCGGACUGGGGUCUGCAACCCGACCCCACGAAGCUGGAUUCG
rnacentral:rRNA from 1 species